AUUGAACGCUGGCGGCAUGCUUUACACAUGCAAGUCGAACGGUAACAGGUUAAGCUGACGAGUGGCGAACGGGUGAGUAAUGCAUCGGAACGUGCCCGAUCGUGGGGGAUAACGCAGCGAAAGCUGCGCUAAUACCGCAUACGAUCUGAGGAUGAAAGCGGGGGACCGUAAGGCCUCGCGCGAUCGGAGCGGCCGAUGUCAGAUUAGGUAGUUGGUGGGGUAAAGGCUCACCAAGCCGACGAUCUGUAGCUGGUCUGAGAGGACGACCAGCCACACUGGGACUGAGACACGGCCCAGCCUCCUACUGGAGGCAGCAGUGGGGAAUUUUGGACAAUGGGCGCAAGCCUGAUCCAGCAAUGCCGCGUGCAGGAAGAAGGCCUUCGGGUUGUAAACUGCUUUUGUACGGAGCGAAAAGGCUCUCUCUAAUACAGGGGGCUCAUGACGGUACCGUAAGAAUAAGCACCGGCUAACUACGUGCCAGCCGCCGCAGUAA
rnacentral:rRNA from 1 species